AAGGCUGAAAAACCAGCACAAUUUCAGUGAAGGAGCCCAUAUUUCCAGGGGAAUGAACUGAAGGCAUUUUCAGCCAGCUUGUGUUAAGAUAGUCUGAUCUCCAAAUCAGACCGAAGUACCAAAAGAGUACUUACACACAGAACAAAAUAUUAACCAGAAAGACAAAACCCUAAAAUAGAUGCUGAAUAAGACCUGGAGAGCUUUAAAUGCAGAGAAGACGUGAGACUGAAUCCAGGAGAAAGAACUUCAAACUUCAGUUUCCAUGAGAAAAGCAGUGACAAUAAUGGGCUGCAAUGUGGUUUCUGCCACCUGUUUGCUCACAAGUCUGGACCUAUUUCUUCAGCAGAGAUAGGUUUACUUGGGAUCAGCAGAGGAUUGCAAUUCUGGAGACUGCAACUGUGGCCAGCCAUGGGCAAGUUCCCCACAUGGCAAGAGUAAAUGCUGGAGAAGCCUUAGAACUAACCUGAAGAUGUUGGUGAAUUUCCAAAGUUAAUUUAGAGCUAUACAUAAACUCCCAGUCACAGACUGAAGCUUACGACCAUGACCGGUUUCAGAAAUGUAUGCCAGCGGAAGUAGGGGUCAGGAUCCUAAUUGUUCAUCAUGAGGAGAACAUGGUGACAAAAAUGACAGAAUGAGGCAGAUGAAGGAUUCACAAGGCUGAGACCAGUGUAGCAGCAAGGCUGUGUUUCUGUCUAGAGACUCUGGAAAUGAAUCUGCUUCUCAAAUGAUUCAGAUUGUUGGCAGUAUUCAGAUACUUGCAAUUGCUGCUGUGGUUAUUUUGUGUCCAUGAGGGAAAGGCAUAGAUCAUUGUGGAGAUGCCACCCAGAGCCCUGACAUCUCCUGAGCUUCUGAAGAUGAAUCCUUUCAGGGUUUCCAGGAAACUUAGGUAAGUGAAUGCAUCUCUGUGUCUAUCUAAACUGCUAAUUGUUGGAUCUUUUGCUACAGCUAUUUUCUAGAGUGCUUUUCAUUCCCCUUCCUAAUUUUCUGGUAGUGAAGUGACAGCAAGAACAGCUAAAUAGAGGGGAACUUUUUUUUACCUGUGACACUGAAAUCUCCCCUUUUUGUCCUCUGUAUCUCCCUUGGGUAUGUUAACACUUUAAUAUAAAAUAGGUAAACUGAUGGUAGUUUGAUUUUUUUUUCUAUUUAUG